rnacentral:misc_RNA from 1 species
AAGUCGUAACAAGGUUUCCGUAGGUGAACCUGCGGAAGGAUCAUUAAUACGCUUUUGUUUGUAACAAAACAAAACGUUUAAAACUCCAAAAUAAAUAGUGGAAAUAUAACUUCCGGAUGCGAAUGUUGGGGAACUGAGUAAAAUUGGUUCUUUUGAAAAGGACUUCAAGCAAUUGACACUUCAGAGUAGAGCAGUGAGGUGAAAUUCUCGUUUUCGAGCGAGAGUUUGGUUCUGAAAAACAUUUGUAUCCGGUUAUCAACAUCUGUUCUACAAACUACAAAAUAUCAAACAAUAAACCCCAUGUAAAACAACUUGAACUAAACAUGUUUUUGUUGUCUAUUCUUGCACUUGUGUGAGAAGAUACUACAAAGAAAAAACCUGAACUUAAGAACAACUCUUAACAACGGAUAUCUUGGUUCUC